GACGAACGCUGGCGGCGUGCUUAACACAUGCAAGUCGAACGGGCCUUGUCCCCUUUUUUUUUGGGGGUGGGGUUAGUGGCGAACGGGUGAGUAACACGUGAGUAACCUGCCCCUCACUUCUGGAUAACCGCUUGAAAGGGUGGCUAAUACGGGGUGUUCUGGCCUGCUCGCAUGGGUGGGUUUGGAAAGAUUCGACCGGUUUUGGUUGUUUUGGUGGGGGAUGGGCUCGCGGCCUAUCAGCUGGUUGGUGGGGUGAUGGCCUGCCAAGGCUUUGACGGGUGGCCGGCCUGAGAGGGUGGGCGUUCACACUGGGACUGAGACACGGCCCAGACUCCUACGGGAGGCAGCAGUGGGGAAUAUUGCACAAUGGGCGCAAGCCUGAUGCAGCGACGCCGCGUGAGGGAUGGAGGCCUUCGGGUUGUGAACCUCUUUCGCCAGUGAAGAAGGUCCUGCUCUUUGUGGUGGGGUUGACGGUAGCUGGGUUAAUGAAGCGCCGGCUAACUACGUG
rnacentral:rRNA from 1 species